rnacentral:rRNA from 1 species
GAUGAACGCUGGCGGCGUGCCUAAUACAUGCAAGUAGAACGCUGAAGGAGGAGCUUGCUCUUCUGGAUGAGUUGCGAACGGGUGAGUAACGCGUAGGUAACCUGCCUGGUAGCGGGGGAUAACUAUUGGAAACGAUAGCUAAUACCGCAUGACAACAGUUAUUGCAUGAUAACUGUUUAAAAGGGGCAACUGCUCCACUACCAGAUGGACCUGCGUUGUAUUAGCUAGUUGGUGAGGUAACGGCUCACCAAGGCGACGAUACAUAGCCGACCUGAGAGGGUGAUCGGCCACACUGGGACUGAGACACGGCCCAGACUCCUACGGGAGGCAGCAGUAGGGAAUCUUCGGCAAUGGACGGAAGUCUGACCGAGCAACGCCGCGUGAGGGAAGAAGGGUUUCGGAUCGGAAAGCUCUGUUGUAAGAGAAGAACGAGUGUGAGAGUGGAAAGUUCACACUGUGACGGUAUCUUACCAGAAAGGGACGGCUAACUACGUG